UACGUAGGUGGCAAGCGUUGUCCGGAAUUACUGGGCGUAAAGGGUAUGUAGGCGGAUAUUUAAGUAGAAAGUGAAAGGUUGGAGCUCAACUCCAACAUUGCUUCCUAUACUGGAUGUCUUGAGUUUCGGAGAGGAAGAUGGAACGACACGUGUAGCGGUGAAAUGCGUUGAUAUGUGUCGGAACACCAAUAGCGAAGGCAAUCUUCUGGACGAACACUGACGCUGAGAUACGAAAGCCAAGGUAGCGAACAGG
rnacentral:rRNA from 1 species